rnacentral:rRNA from 1 species
GUAGGGAAUAUUGGUCAAUGGGCGGAAGCCUGAACCAGCCAUGCCGCGUGCAGGAAGAAGGCCCUCUGGGUUGUAAACUGCUUUUGAUAGGGAACAAAUGCCACUUGCGAGUGGAGCUGAGUGUACCUAUAGAAUAAGCACCGGCUAACUCCGUGCCAGCAGCCGCGGUAAUACGGAGGGUGCAAGCGUUGUCCGGAAUUAUUGGGUUUAAAGGGUGCGUAGGCGGCUCUUUAAGUCAGUGGUGAAAUCCUUCAGCUUAACUGGAGAACUGCCAUUGAUACUGAAGAGCUUGAGUAUAGUUGAGGUAGGCGGAAUUGACAGUGUAGCGGUGAAAUGCUUAGAUAUUGUCAAGAACACCGAUUGCGAAGGCAGCUUACUAAACUAUAACUGACGCUGAGGCACGAAAGCGUGGGUAUCAAACAGGAUUAGAAACCCGUGUAGUCC